GCUCAGUUGGUAGAGCAUAACCUUGCCAAGGUUGGGGUCGCGAGUUCGAGUCUCGUUUCCCGCUCCA
rnacentral:tRNA from 35 species